UACGUAGGUGGCAAGCGUUGUCCGGAUUUAUUGGGCGUAAAGCGAGCGCAGGUGGUUCCUUAAGUCUGAUGUGAAAGCCCACGGCUCAACCGUGGAAGGUCAUUGGAAACUGGGGAACUUGAGUGCAGAAGAGGAGAGUGGAAUUCCAUGUGUAGCGGUGAAAUGCGUAGAUAUAUGGAGGAACACCUGUGGCGAAGGCGACUCUCUGGUCUGUAACUGACGCUGAGGCUCGAAAGCGUGGGGAGCAAACAGGAUUAGA
rnacentral:rRNA from 1 species